UACGUAGGGUGCAAGCGUUAAUCGGAAUUACUGGGCGUAAAGGGCGCGUAGGCGGCCUGGCAAGUGGAAUGUGAAAGCCCCCGGCUUACCCGGGGAUCUGCAUCCCAAACUGCUUGGCUUGAGUACGGGAGAGGAUAGGGGAAUUCCUGGUGUAGCGGUGAAAUGCGUAGAUAUCAGGAGGAACACCUAUAGCGAAGGCAGCUCGCUGGGACGACACUGACGCUGAGACGCGAAAGCGUGGGGAGCGAACAGG
rnacentral:rRNA from 1 species